rnacentral:rRNA from 1 species
AUUGAACGCUGGCGGCAGGCCUAACACAUGCAAGUCGAGCGGAUGACGGGAGCUUGCUCCUUGAUUCAGCGGCGGACGGGUGAGUAAUGCCUAGGAAUCUGCCUGGUAGUGGGGGACAACGUUUCGAAAGGAACGCUAAUACCGCAUACGUGCUACGGGAGAAAGCAGGGGACCUUCGGGCCUUGCGCUAUCAGAUGAGCCUAGGUCGGAUUAUAUAGUUGGUGAGGUAAUGGCUCACCAAGGCGACGAGCCGUAACUGGUCUGAGAGGAUGAUCAGUCCAACUGGAACUGAGACACGGUCCAGACUCCUACGGGAGGCAGCAGUGGGGAAUAUUGGACAAUGGGCGAAAGCCUGAUCCAGCCAUGCCGCGUGUGUGAAGAAGGUCUUCGGAUUGUAAAGCACUUUAAGUUGGGAGGAAGGGCAGUAAGUUAAUACCUUGCUGUUUUGACGUUACCGACAGAAUAAGCACCGGCUAACUCUGUGCCAGCCGCCGCCGUAA